rnacentral:pre_miRNA from 1 species
AGUGGGAUUGCUGGAUUAUACAGCAGUCCUGUUUUUAAUUUUUUGAGGAAUCUCCAUACUGUUUUCCACAAUGGUUGUACUAAUUUACAUUCCUACCAACAAU